rnacentral:sRNA from 2 species
CUGGCUGUUUUUUAAGCAACCCCCAUACUUUCUAGCUUUCAGCCUCACAUACCGGAAAAAAAAAGUGCAACUCUUGCUCCAGCUCCGUUUACUUACUAAAAGUAAUAGGUAGUAUGUAGGCCGGCUAAUUUCCCGCAGUUGGGAAA